UACGUAGGGGGCAAGCGUUGUCCGGAUUUAUUGGGCGUAAAGAGCGUGUAGGCGGCCAGACAGGUCCGUUGUGAAACUCGAGGCUCAACCUCGAGAUGUCGAUGGAAACCGUCUGGCUAGAGUCCGGAAGAGGCGAGUGGAAUUCCUGGUGUAGCGGUGGAAUGCGCAGAUAUCAGGAGGAACACCAAUAGCGAAGGCAGCUCGCUGGGACGUUACUGACACUGAGGCGCGAAAGCGUGGGGAGCGAACAGG
rnacentral:rRNA from 1 species